rnacentral:rRNA from 1 species
CGCUAGCUACAGGCUUAACACAUGCAAGUCAGGGGCAGCAUGGAGUUGCUUGCAAACUCUGAUGGCGACCGCGGCACGGGUGAGUAACGCGUAUCCAACCUUCCCUAUAGUAGAGGAUAGCCCGGCGAAAGUCGGAUUAAUACUCUAUGUUUUCCGUUGCAGACAUCUAAGAUGGAACAAAGGCUUGCCGCUAUAGGAUGGGGAUGCGUCUGAUUAGAUAGUAGGCGGGUAACGGCCCACCUAGUCGACGAUCAGUAGGGGUUCUGAGAGGAAGAUCCCCCACAUUGGAACUGAGACACGGUCCAAACUCCUACGGGAGGCAGCAGUGAGGAAUAUUGGCCAAUGGGCGAGAGCCUGAACCAGCCAAGUAGCGUGCAGGAUGACGGCCCUAUGGGUUGUAAACUGCUUUUAUAUGGGGAUAAAGUCACCCACGUGUGGGUGUUUGUAGGUACCAUAUGAAUAAGGACCGGCUAAUUCCGUGCCAGCCGCAGC